UGGGAUGUAGCUCAGUGGUAGAGUGCUUGCCUGGUGGGCAUGAGGGCCUGGGUUCAAUCCCCAGUACCACAA